rnacentral:rRNA from 1 species
CCGCAUUGUAAUUUGCAGAGGAUGCUUCGGGAGCGGCCCCCAUCUAAGUGCCCUGGAACGGGCCGUCAUAGAGGGUGAGAAUCCCGUCUGGGAUGGGGUGCCCGCGCCCGUGUGAAGCUCCUUCGACGAGUCGAGUUGUUUGGGAAUGCAGCUCUAAAUGGGUGGUAAAUUUCAUCUAAAGCUAAAUACUGGCCGGAGACCGAUAGCGCACAAGUAGAGUGAUCGAAAGAUGAAAAGCACUUUGAAAAGAGAGUUAAACAGCACGUGAAAUUGUUGAAAGGGAAGCGCUUGCGACCAGACUCGCCCGCAGGGUUCAGCCGGCAUUCGUGCCGGUGUACUUCCCCGCGGGCGGGCCAGCGUCGGUUUGGGCGGCCGGUCAAAGGCCCUCGGAAUGUAACGCCCCCCGGGGCGUCUUAUAGCCNAGGGUGCCAUGCGGCCAGCCCGGACCGAGGAACGCGCUUCGGCUCGGACGCUGGCAUAAUGGUCGUAAGCGACCCGUCUUGAAACACGGACCAAGGAGUCUAACAUCUACGCGAGUGUUCGGGUGUCAAACCCGUGCGCGCAGUGAAAGCGAACGGAGGUGGGAACCCCCCGGGGUGCACCAUCGACCGAUCCUGAUGUCUUCGGAUGGAUUUGAGUAAGAGCGUAGCUGUUGGG